rnacentral:rRNA from 1 species
GACGAACGCUGGCGGCGUGCUUAACACAUGCAAGUCGAACGGAAAGGCCCUGCUUUUGUGGGGUGCUCGAGUGGCGAACGGGUGAGUAACACGUGAGUAACCUGCCCUUGACUUUGGGAUAACUUCAGGAAACUGGGGCUAAUACCGGAUAGGAGCUCCUGCUGCAUGGUGGGGGUUGGAAAGUUUCGGCGGUUGGGGAUGGACUCGCGGCUUAUCAGCUUGUUGGUGGGGUAGUGGCUUACCAAGGCUUUGACGGGUAGCCGGCCUGAGAGGGUCACCGGCCACAUUGGGACUGAGAUAAGGCACAGACUCCUACGGGAGGCAGCAGUGGGGAAUAUUGCACAAUGGGCGGAAGCCUGAUGCAGCAACGCCGCGUGCGGGAUGACGGCCUUCGGGUUGUAAACCGAUUUCGCCUGUGACGAAGCGUGAGUGACGGUAAUGGGUAAAGAAGCACCGGCUAACUACGUG